GGAGAACGCUGGCGGCGUGCUUAACACAUGCAAGUCGAACGAGGUCCACCGCGUAGCAAUACAAGGGAAGACCUAGUGGCGAACGGGUGCGUAACACGUGAGGAACUUGUCCCGGUCUCUGGGAUAACAGUUGGAAACGACUGCUAAUACCGGAUGACGUCGGAAUCUCGCAUGGGAUACUGACGAAAGGGUUACUGGAUCGGGAGAGCCUCGCGGCCUAUCAGCUUGUUGGUGAGGUAACGGCUCACCAAGGCAUCGACGGGUAGCUGGUCUGAGAGGAUGAUCAGCCACACUGGGACUGAGACACGGCCCAGACUCCUACGGGAGGCAGCAGUGGGGAAUCUUGCGCAAUGGGCGAAAGCCUGACGCAGCAACGCCGCGUGCGGGAAGAAGGCCCUCGGGUUGUAAACCGCUUUCAGCAGGAACGAAAAUGACGGUACUUGCAGAAGAAGGUGCGGCCAACUACGUG
rnacentral:rRNA from 1 species